rnacentral:rRNA from 1 species
GGAGCAUGUGGUUUAAUUCGAAGCAACGCGAAGAACCUUACAGGCCUUGACAUGCAGAGAACUUUCCAGAGAUGGAUUGGUGCCUUCGGGAACUCUGACACAGGUGCUGCAUGGCUGUCGUCAGCUCGUGUCGUGAGAUGUUGGGUUAAGUCCCGUAACGAGCGCAACCCUUGUCCUUAGUUGCCAGCAGUUCGGCUGGGCACUCUAAAGGGACUGCCGGUGUUAAACCGGAGGAAGGUGGGGAUGACGUCAAGUCCUCAUGGCCUUUAUGACCAGGGCUACACACGUACUACAAUGGCCGAUACAAAGGGCAGCGACACUGCGAGGUGAAGCCAAUCCCGUAAAAUCGGUCUCAGUCCGGAUUGGAGUCUGCAACUCGACUCCAUGAAGUUGGAAUCGCUAGUAAUCGUGGAUCAGCAUGCCACGGUGAAUACGUUCCCGGGCCUU